GACGAACGCUGGCGGCGUGCUUAACACAUGCAAGUCGAACGGAAAGGCCCUGCUUUUGUGGGGUGCUCGAGUGGCGAACGGGUGAGUAACACGUGAGUAACCUGCCCUUGACUUUGGGAUAACUUCAGGAAACUGGGGCUAAUACCGGAUAGGAGCUCCUGCUGCAUGGUGGGGGUUGGAAAGUUUCGGCGGUUGGGGAUGGACUCGCGGCUUAUCAGCUUGUUGGUGGGGUAGUGGCUUACCAAGGCUUUGACGGGUAGCCGGCCUGAAGGGGUGACCGGCCACAUUGGGACUGAGAUACGGCCCGGACUCCUACGGGAGGCAGCAGUGGGGAAUAUUGCACAAUGGGCGGAAGCCUGAUGCAGCAACGCCGCGUGCGGGAUGACGGCCUUCGGGUUGUAAACCGCUUUCGCCUGUGACGAAGCGUGAGUGACGGUAAUGGGUAAAGAAGCACCGGCUAACUACGUG
rnacentral:rRNA from 1 species